CGACCGGCGCACGGGUGAGUAACACGUAUGGAACCUGCCCGCAGCAGGGGGAUAAGCGGAAGAAAUUCCGUCUAAUACCGCGUAACACCGCAGAGGGGCAUCCCUCGGCGGUUAAAGAUUCAUCGGCUGCGGAUGGCCAUGCGGCGCAUUAGCUAGUCGGCGGGGUAACGGCCCACCGAGGCGAUGAUGCGUAGGGGUUCUGAGAGGAAGGUCCCCCACACUGGUACUGAGACACGGACCAGACUCCUACGGAAGGCAGCAG
rnacentral:rRNA from 1 species